AUUGAACGCUGGCGGCAGGCCUAACACAUGCAAGUCGAACGAGUGGCGGACGGGUGAGUAAUGUAUGGGGAACUGCCCGAUGGAGGGGGAUAACUACUGGAAACGGUAGCUAAUACCGCAUACCAUCGGAUGAACCCAUAUGGGAUUAGCUAGUAGGUGGGGUAACGGCUCACCUAGGCGACGAUCCCUAGCUGGUCUGAGAGGAUGACCAGCCACACUGGGACUGAGACACGGCCCAGACUCCUACGGGAGGCAGCAGUGGGGAAUAUUGCACAAUGGGCGCAAGCCUGAUGCAGCCAUGCCGCGUGUAUGAAGAAGGCCUUAGGGUUGUAAAGUACUUUCAGCGAGGAGGCGUUACUCGCAGAAGAAGCACCGGCUAACUCCGUGCCAGCAGCCGCGGUAAUUC
rnacentral:rRNA from 1 species